rnacentral:rRNA from 3 species
UCCGGUGGUCAUACCGAGAGGGAAACACCCGUUCCCAUUCCGAACACGGAAGUUAAGCCUCUCUGGGCCGAUGGUACUUGGUGGGUAACUGCCUGGGAGAGUAGGUCGCCGCCGGGA